GGAUUACAAGACCCAGCAUGCGCUGCGCCUCCCCGAUGAAUGAGUCGCGUUCAGUCUCUUGGCGGCGGGCGCGAGGAGGCCCCAGUGCCAAAAGGCGAUCCUAAGAGAUGGAUGAGUGUUGUCUUGCUGCUGAUUGGCUCGGACUGGAAUAUGGUUGUGUAAUGAAAGAGCCGAUGCCAGGGGCUGGGGCAGGAACUACGGGGGCGGGUCUUUUGGGAAGGCAGGGCUGUAGGCCGGCCAAACAGACUGGGGAGACUGCGCCGGAGGGCUGCGAUAGUGGAGAGGUCUGGAUAAGUUUAGAUGGCCAGCUGAGAGAAGGCCCCAGCCAAACACCAGCUUCCUUAACGUGUAUAGACGCUUCUGUGUCUUAAUUAAACGUCAGGCAGGAUCCGAGAAAGUGUUGCAGCUCUGAGGGAAAGGCUUCCUCUACACAAGUGUUGCAGCUGCGCAGCGGCCAAAGUGUAACCAGAGUGUAACAGUUCCUGAUCCGCUCUGCUCCAGGGAAAGUGCUACAGCUCCGAGAAAUCACACCGCACAGCAAACCCCACAUAGGAGACUCUGGGAGGGAAAAAUACAGUAGCGGCUACCCCUGAUCCCCGGGGAAGCAGCAGCAGAUUGAGAAGACAGGAAGACUUUCCCUGCUGCAGGCGGCUUUGGCUGAGGCUCCAUCACUGCGGAGCGGCUCAGGGAGGCUGAAGAGGAGGUACUGUCACUGUGGCAAUUCCUGGGUUGAUAUUUUAUGGCAGCGGCUGCAGCCUGAGGCUGGAGAGGAAGGUGCAGCCAUCUUGACAGCCCUGGCAGUACCUCAUGGGAUGAGUUGCUGGCCGUCCCUGUGGUACACCACUUAGGGACUACGCCCGCAAUAUUUGGCGCACCAUUGGAAGGCCCAAGAUUCACGUUAAGAUCAUGAGUUCGAGACAUGAGACCUGGACAAGAGAAUCCACGCACGAGGUCACCCCAGACACACAAACGUGGGUUGGAGACAUGGAGCGGUGGACAGGGAAGCAGAAAUGUCAGACUUUAGAGUCAGUGAUGUAUGCUCAGAAUGGGCCAUCCUCAGAGGACAGAGUUUAGGGACACGUAAGUGCUGAAACAGUAAGUUUGGAAGCAGAAAAAGAGAAAUGUAGAAAUGUUUUGUAAAUGUGCAUAGACACUUAAGAAAGGAAAGAAACUGAGUACAGACAGUCAUAGAAAGAAAAAAAUAUUGUUUUAAUAUAAUAAAGUGAAACCUCCAAAGGAAGGAGAAACUUAGCAUGAUUAAAAAAGAAAAUAUUUUCAUUGUUAAAAAAUAAAAAACACUAUAGCAGAGGGCACCUGGACCCUUUAUACUUUUGUUUUAGUUGUCAGCAUGGAGCUAAAUCAAAUAGGUUCAUAACGAUUGUAGUUUUCUGUGCCCUCUUGGGAGUGAUCUUUUUGUGCACUGUGUAAAGACUGUCUUUGUAUAUUCAAAUGCUGGUUUCCUUACAGCAGAGAGCUAAGUACAGUCCAGACUUUGGUAUUGUUGACACCUGUCUCAGUGUUUUGUAAACAAACUUCCAUCACCUUCUGAUUCAUCUAAUAAAGAGCUAAAUGGCCAAUAGCAAAGGCAGGAGAGAGAGGCAGAACAUCCAGACAGAUGUAGGAACUCUGGGAAAUAAUCAGAGGCAGGAGGAAGUCAGACAUAUGGAACUGAGGAGAGGUAAUGACCGGGUGGCAGAACACAGAUGUAGAUGGGUUAACAUGGGUUAUAAGAGCUAGUUGGGAACAAGAGUAAGGUAAGGCCUAAAGCUGUUAUACAUAAAUGCAAGUCUCCAUGUCAUUAGUUAGAGCUGAGAUGGGCAUAGAAAGUUCAUAAGGUUUUAGUGCCUCUCUAAGAAAGAAAAAAUGAGAAAAAUCUUGUCCUUCUCCCUGGAAUUCACAGGAAGUGGACUUCGAUAAGGAGAUGACUGAGAGGUGUAAUUCUAGGUUACAAGAGGUAGAACAGAAAUCAGAGGAUCUUUUAACUCAGAAUAAAAAUUUUCCCCAGUCAGGUCAGAAGAAUAUAAUCUAAAGCUUGCAGCGCCACCAUAUGACUGCAGGAUGGCCGUUCAAGCCUACUAGAAAGCCCACAAUAGCCUUUUCAGUUCCUGUAGGACCCCGAGAUGAGAGAGACCUAUAAGGUUGUGAUGAAUUUGGAUGGCAAACCAUAGAGAUAGCAGAAGAAGUAGUGGCAGCAUAUGGAAUGUACUCAUUCUAUGUAAAACAGCCAUGAAGUGACUGGGUCACACAAAAUUUUAUAAUCAAAAGGAUUGGAAAGAUUUAGUGGCAAAUGUUUUGGAAGCUGACCCUCAGCUACAGUGGCUGACCUGGUGGAGAGAGGAGGCUUCAGCUAUGGAUAAAUGUAAUAGGACUAGAGGUCAUAUUGUCAACCAUCAGCGUGCUAAGUUACAAACACAGAUUCUGUUUGAUGAUGCCAUCUUAGAGCAAUGUUGUACAGUAGCUUUAAAUGUUUAGGACAAAGUUAAACAACAGGGAAGAUGAUCUGCAUCAUUUACCAGGAUAGCCCAGUGUAGUGGAGAGCCAUCUGUAGCAGUCUUUUUUUAAACUCUACUUUAUUUGGGGUGUUUAGGCCUCCACCUCCCUCCCACCAACCCCUAACCCUAAGUAGGAGAGAGAAAAAAGUAGUGAGUAGAGGGAGCCCAGACUUCUUUACUUCUGGCUAGUUAAGGUCAAGGGGUUCUUUUAGGGCUCUAUACCAAUCUCUGUCAACUAGCAGGCUCCUCCACAGUGCUGCACCCAAAGUGUUUCUCUCUGUCUGUCUACUCCAAACUGCCACACUGUCUCUGGUCUCUGAUCUCUGGUCUCUCCAAACUGCUCCACAUCAUUCGCCAACACUGACUAUCACAGUGAACGCCACUGAACACCACACUGUCUGUUUCUUGACCUCAUAUUUAUACUCUCAGAGUCCUAGACGACACCCCGCUCUGUGCAGCACAUUGGAAGGUUGCUAACAGCUGGCAGAGAUCAUGCCCCGCAGGUGACAAUUAACAGGUGUGGACAAACUGUAGCUCAACUAAAAUCCCACACUUGGGAUUAAAACAAAAACAUAUUUAUGUAAUAUGCAAAGAAACCAAAACUUCCAUUACAACCCAAUGUUCAGAUGAAUCUUUUACUGAUUUUUUUUUUUUUUUUUACAAAGAUUAACUUCAGCUGUAAAUAGAGCACUAUCAGAUCCAGAUUCAAUUGAGGUACUAAUUGAGUCUUUAGCUUUUGAGAAUGCUAAUACGGAAUGCAAAGAGGCUAUUAGACCUUUGAAAGCAAGAUUAGCAACUAUUUAUGAAGCCAUUAAAAUUACUGUGGAUUUUGGAUCUGAUGCUUUCAAUACUGCUAUGAUAAGACAGGCAAUUCCUAAAAGUGUGAGAGCGCAAAAUGUCUGAUGCUUUCUUUGGCUGUGGACCAGGUCAUUUCAUAAAAGACUGUAGAUAAACAGUUUCUAAGGAUAAUAUUCUUGCUAAUGAUAAUCCAGGGAGAAAGCUUCCUGAGAUAUGUUAAGAUUUGGAAAGAGCAGACACAGAGAUAUAUGAGGCAGUUCCUUACUAUUGGGAAAAUGCCUAGGGGGCUUUGUUCAGACCACCCUCUCCCUUCCUCCCCCCAAAAAACCCCAACAACAUGAGCCAGUCAUUUCCUGUCAGCCAAGUAGAGACUGUUCAAGAGAGUAACUAAAAAUAUUAAUGCCUGAGCUGGGCGUGGUGGCACAUGCCUGUGAUCCCAGCACUUGGGGAGGCAAAGACAGGAGGAUUUCUGUGAGUUUGAGGCCAGUCUACAAAGCUAGUCCAGGACAGCCAAGGCUACACAGAGAAACCCUGUCUCAAACAAAUAAACAAAUAAAUAAAUGCUUCAUAUUUUCAUAAAAGGCAUGGAAGCUUGAAAAUUUUUUCUAUAACCUGGUGACAAGCAAAGGAAAUUUUAAAAAAAGUCCCACUUGUUCUUUAUAUAAUCAAGGUCAAUUACCUGCCAGAAGUAACCCUAAAGGUACCCAAAGAAAUGAAAUUUGGCAUUUUGCAGAGUUUGGAAAAUUAAAGUAUGUGCAUCAUACUUUUGAUACAUAGUCAGGAUUCCAAUGGGCUUCUGCCUUGAGUUCUGAAAAGGUUGAUAUUGUAAUUACAUAUUUACUAGAGUGAUGACUAUCUCAGGGAUACCUUUACAAAUUAAAACUGAUAAUGCUCCAGCAUAUGUAUCCAGUAAUAUGCAACAAUUUAAAAAAUGUAACAUAAACAUGUUGCAAGCAUACUUACAGUCCUACAAGUCAAGCAGUUGUGAAAAGUCCUAACCACACUUUAAAUGCUCAUAAAAACAGAAGGGGGAUAUGAGAGCUCUCAGAGAUAGAUCAUAUAAUGAUUUAUUAACUUUAAAUUUUUUAAAUGUCUGUGAGACAGGUUGCAUAGCUGCUGAAAAAUACUAGAUUUUAGAGAGGACUUCUGAAUUAAAUCAACCUAUAUACUGUAAGAAUGUGUUAACCUCAGAAUGGAAAUCAGGAAUUGUGUUGCAUUGGGGAAGAGGCUAUGCAUUUGUCUCCACAGGAAACAAAAGCUAUGGAUGGAUUCCUUCAAAGUUAAUAAAGAUUAGAUUUGACCAUGGGAGACCUCCUGAAAAUCUUGGCUGCAGACAUGACGGAAGAAACCUAGAAGAACAACAAAAUUGAUCCCCCUUCAUGGGAACAGCUUGGAAACUGGCUGAGACAUGAAUUUCUCUGCAGUAGCCAAUGAAUCUUGUUGGCUAACAGGUCUUCAUGACUUAUUAUUACAUGCCAUCCCUUCAUAUGGCAGGGAUGGAGAUUUAUAUAUCCUAUUACAGUUUGGUUAUGCAGUCCAAAUGGACUUACAAAGAUUGAAAGAUGCCUUUCAAGCAAGCAUAGAGCAGAGAAUCAUAUGUAGCUGAUUAUUGCACACUGCACAUUCCACACGUGUUAAAGCAGAAGUGUCACAAUAAUGUUUGCCGGAGCCCGCCAACAGUCAAGCUGUUCUUGAGUCGGGAGUGAAAAUUAAAAUUAAUAAACUAACACACAACACAUGGGACCUUUCCGAGAGGCUCUAGUAGCAACUAGACUAGCCACCUGGCUUUAUUUCAGACUCCUUUUAAGCCAGAGUAAAAACAGCUCAGCACAAUGAGUUAAAUUCACAAGGAGGUGAAACAAGGUGUGAUUUUGACAAGCUAUCCCACCUGCUGUCACAAACAAAAGGAGAUAGACUUGGAAAUUCUUCCCUGACUCCAGUGAAGUCCUAGUAAAAGCAAUCUUUCCGCUGAGAUUUAAAUAUCAAAGCAGCUGCUAAAACAGCAGCUCCCAACAAAGGUUACCUUUAGAAGUUUGAUGGAAAGCAGAGGCAGAUGGAUCUCUGUGAGAGUUCAAGGCCAGCCAGAGUUAUAAAGUUCCAGGGCACCCUACACUAUUUUACAGAGGAAACCUGUCUCAAAAAAUAAAACCCCCAAAACAACCCCCCCAAAUUGUGUUUUCAGAGCAAAAGGACCAGACACCAAUGAAGAUAAAGCAGCUAGUCCUAGACGAUCCAGUUUCUUAGACUGCCUCAUUUGAUAUUUCCUCAAAAAUUACAUCCAGGACAGCUUCAAAUUGGCUCGCCUCAAGUGGUCCAGCCUCAUAGACUACUUCAGCCAGGACUUCAGUUAAGCCCUGCACUUUCCUGUCCCAAUAUGAUCCCAUAGAGCCUGGACAGUGAGUAAAGCAGCCAGCUCUCCAAGGACUUGGCCCAUACCCCAGUUUUUUUAGGGCUCCCCAAGACAAGAAGGAAGCAAUGUAAGAAAACAACACCCCCAUUCUGAGAGGUGGGUGAGUGGUUAUGGAUGUUGUCCUUUAGGGGGGUUGUUGCAAGUUGGCUUUGAUCAUGGUCAAAGGAAAGGAAGUUAGAUUCAAGGAUCUUCCUCUCUCCCUUCUAUCCUUCUUUCUCUUCUAAAUAGUUAGAGGGUGAAACCAGGGUAAAAGGGGGAGUGGGUGAAAGGGAAAAGAAGGGCAGGUUAUUUUAUCUCCUUUCAGAGCAAGAAAGCAACUAGUCUCAAAUAUUUUAGAUUGGUAUGGAUUUCUGUAUUUUGAUAUAAAUUUAAGGUUAUAUUUGCUACAAUAUACUGUGUAUAAAACUCAACUCUUGUUUAAGGUAUUGUGCAUAUGCAACUCACUAAAAAAAAAAAAAAAACACAACAAAAAGUUGGGCACUCGUGGUGCUCGCCUUUAAUCCUACCACUCAGGAGGCAGAGACAGGUGGAUCUCUGCGAGUUCAAGGCCAGCCUGAUCUACAGAGUGAGUUCCAGGAAAGUCAAGGCUACACAGAGAAACACUGUCUCAAAAAACAAGCAAAAUGUAAAGUCUUAGUCUUAUGAAAACUACUAUUAGAAACUGUUAAGGAUAAUUACAAAAUACAAAUCAGUAGUCAUCUAUAAAUAAUCAUAUUCUUUAAUGCAUUCAGAACUGUACUGCAGUCAUGCUAGGUGCUAAUGUAGUUGAUUACGGGAGUAGACUUCAUUUAACCUCCUAUAUCUGUUUUCAAAGUUAAAAAACAAACAAGUUUGUCUAUUUAGACAUACUUUAGAUAGAUAUCCUCAAACACUUCACACAUUUGCAGGAUAUGGUAUUUAAAAUAUUUAAUAAAAGUUUUUUUGUGACAGAGAGACAUAUCAGCCCCUAGUCUCCUCCAGAGAAGAUGAUGGGCACAGAAAACCCUCUACCUGGAGCUUGCUUCAAAUGUGGCAGAGGUGGCCACUGGGCUAUAAACUGCCCUUUACUUCAACAGCUGACAGCAUGCCAUCCAAACUAUGGACAGGAAAGACACUGGGAAGUUGAUUGCUCUACUUUGCUGAGAUAAGGUAGCACCGUCCUUCAAAAUUCCUGUUUAACAGGAAAGUCUGUCAGAUCUUCUGGGCUUGCCCCACUUGACAUAGAGGAACCUUGGGUAACUGUCCAGGUAACCAGUAAGUCUCUGUCAUUUUUAAAAAUUUUUAUUUAUUUUUAUGUACAUUUGGCAUACAUAUAUCUAUGUGAGGGAGUCAGAUCUACUGGAAUUUGAGUUACAGACCAGACAGUUGUGAGUUGCCACGUGAAUUCUGGGAUUUGAACCAGAGUCCUCUGGAAGAGCAACCAAUGCUCUUAACCCUCCUGCCCCCGUCCCUGUCAUUUUUUUUUUUUUAGAUUCAGAGGCUACUUGCUCCGCACUUCCUGUUUACUCAGGUAAAAUUUAUCCUUUUCAGGUCUCUGAGUAUUAGAUGGUAUGAGGACCUGACUGACUCACUUUGAGACUGGGUGCAAAGCUAGGCCAAAAUUCCUGCCACUCUUCUCCCUUUUCUGUUUGACAAGUUCCUGAAAAACAAACAAACAAAAAACUCCCAGAAGAUGGUCAGGCAAUCAGCAACUGCCUAGACAUCUGACCUGGGGCUAUCUGAGGUGACUGUUCCUUUUCUAAGGUUGGAACCAACCAGGAACAUACAAGUAUCCCCUUACUGUGAACCCAUCUAACUCUGGUAAGGUUUACCUAAUCCCCUAGCUGGUUUUAAAGGGAGCCUGUAGGCUCCUCUCAGAGGCACCAUUUUGUAAAGUGGCUGACCCCUGCAUGCAGGAUUCUUGCUUUCGAGAAAUAAAAACACUCUUGAUUACAUA